CCUACGGGAGACAGCAGUGGGGGAUAUUGCACAAUGGGGGGAACCCUGAUGCAGCGACGCCGCGUGGGUGAAGGAGUGCUUCGGCAUGUAAAGCCCUAUCGGCAGGGAAGAAGCAAGACGGUACCUGACUAAGAAGCCCCGGCUAACUACGUGCCAGCAGCCGCGGUAAUACGUAGGGGGCGAGCGUUAUCCGGAUUCACUGGGUGUAAAGGGAGCGUAGACGGCCAUGCAAGCCAGGGGUGAAAGCCCGGGGCCCAACCCCGGGACUGCCCUUGGAGCUGCAUGGCUGGAGGGCGGGAGGGGCAGGCGGAAUUCCUGGUGUAGCGGUGAAAUGCGUAGAUAUCAGGAGGAACACCGGCGGCGAAGGCGGCCUGCUGGACUGCGACUGACGUUGAGGCUCGAAAGCGUGGGGAGCGAACAGGAUUAGAUACCCGAGUAGUC
rnacentral:rRNA from 1 species